AUUGAACGCUGGCGGCAUGCCUAACACAUGCAAGUCGCACGUGAAAGGGGGCAACUCCGAGUAAAGUGGCGGACGGGUGAGUAAUACGUAGGAAUCUACCUUAGAGUGGGGGAUAACCCGGGGAAACUCGGGCUAAUACCGCAUAACUUCUACGGAACAAAGCGGGGGAUCGUAAGACCUCGUGCUUUAAGAUGAGCCUACGGCGGAUUAGCUAGUUGGUAGGGUAAUGGCCUACCAAGGCAACGAUCCGUAGCUGGUCUGAGAGGACGACCAGCCACACUGGGACUGAGAUACGGCCCAGACUCCUACGGGAGGCAG
rnacentral:rRNA from 1 species